rnacentral:rRNA from 1 species
CCCUGAGUAGCGGCGAGCGAAACGGGAAGAGCCCAAACCAACGAGCUUGCUUGUUGGGGUUGUAGGACACUCUAUACGGAGUUACAAAAGAACAGACUAGACGAAUCAUCUGGAAAGAUGAAUCAAAGAAGGU